CUGAUAAUGAAGGUUGGCCUGUCGCA
rnacentral:piRNA from 1 species